UACGGAAGGCAGCAGUGGGGAAUAUUGCACAAUGGGCGAAAGCCUGAUGCAGCUAUGCCGCGUGUAUGAAGAAGGCCUUAGGGUUGUAAAGUACUUUCAUCGGGGAGGAAAAACAAAACUAAUAAUUUUAUUUCUUGACGUUACCCGAAAAAGAAGCACCGGCUAACUCCGUGCCAGCAGCCGCGGUAAUACGGAGGGUGCUAGCGUUAAUCAGAAUUACUGGGCGUAAAGAGCACGUAGGUGGUUUUUUUAAGUCAGAUGUGAAAUCCCUGGGCUUAACCUAGGAACUGCAUUUUGAAACUGAAAUACUAGAGUAUCGUAGAGGGAGGUAGAAUUCUAGGUGUAGCGGUGAAAUGCGUAGAUAUCUGGAGGAAUACUUGUGGCGAAAGCGGCCUCCUAAACGAAUACUGACACUGAGGUGCGAAAGCGUGGGGAGCAAACAGGGAUUAGAUACC
rnacentral:rRNA from 1 species